UCACACCUAAAUUUGAAAAGUCUUAUGUAGUGAAAGAGUUGGGUGUAAAAUUGAAAGGUUCUCUAAUCUGGCGGGUUCUUUUUUUUAAUAAGAUCAAGUAGCGGGUUGGUUAAGGAAAAUUUGGAUUUCAACCAUAACCAGUUGGUUAUGAACCAGAAAUAAGUUAGUGGGAGACAUGAUGAUUAAGUGAUUUCCAAGUGACUAUGAAUUGGUUUUGGUGUUAGAGGUCGAAAGGACUAUAUAUAUAUGAGAAACAUUCUUCUCUUGGGUUUAUUCUUUUGUUUUUUU
rnacentral:lncRNA from 1 species